rnacentral:rRNA from 1 species
UGGAGUAUGUGGUUUAAUUCGAUGCAACGCGAAGAACCUUACCUGGUCUUGACAUCCCAGAAAUCCCUUGGAAACUUGGGAGUGCUUCCAUUAGGAAGAAUCUGGAGACAGGUGCUGCAUGGCUGUCGUCAGCUCGUGUCGUGAGAUGUUGGGUUAAGUCCCGCAACGAGCGCAACCCUUGCCUUUAGUUGCCAGCAGUUCGGCUGGGCACUCUAAAGGGACUGCCGGUGUUAAACCGGAGGAAGGUGGGAUGACGUCAAGUCCUCAUGGCCUUUAUGACCAGGGCUACACACGUACUACAAUGGCCGAUACAAAGGGCAGCGACAUUGCGAAAUGAAGCCAAUCCCAUAAAUUCGGUCUCAGUCCGGAUUGGAGUCUGCAACUCGACUCCAUGAAGUUGGAAUCGCUAGCAAUCGUGGAUCAGCAUGCCACGGUGAAUACGUUCCCGGGCCUU